UGAAGCACGGUCUGGGACACGCACUGGGAUGUGCUCUCCUUCCCGGCCUGCGCAGGAAGCAGGCAGGCCGCGAGGAGUGAGACUUGGGAGCAGAGGCGGCAGAGGGGCACCGGACGGGGGCCAGGGCCACCGCAGAGGCUAGCCUUGGGACGCAGGCAGCUUGGGGCAGGAGGAGGGGAAGGAGACGACAGCGUCGGCCUCCCCUUUCGGACCCACUCACCGAAGAUCGCUUCCACCGGCCAGGCCUCCAGGAGCAUUACCUUCGGAGCCCUCAGGUGCGCUGGAAGAGGGCGGAGCUCCGGGCUUGAGCCUACGACUGGGAAACUGUGGAAGCAGUAACUGUGGACUCAGGGAGCUGUGUGGUCCUCGGACCCCCAAACCCAGACUCCUGCCUUCUGGGGUUCAAGCCCAAAUACAUGUUUCUCG